UUGUGAAAAUCCUUUUCCUGGCUCAUCCUGGCUCAAAAAGCACCCCCACUGAGCACCUUGUGACCCCCACUCCUGCCUGCCAGAGAACAAACCCCCUUUGACUGGACGCGCAUGAAAUUUGGUGCCGUGACUCGGAUCGGGGGACCUCCCUUGGGAGAUCAAUCCCCUGUCCUCCUGUUCUUUGCUCCGUGAGAAAGAGCCACCUACGACCUCAGGUCCUCAGACCAACCAGCCCAAGAAACAUCUCACCAAUUUCAAAUCCGGAGCUUGCUACACAUGCUGGAAAUCUGGCCACUGGGCGAAGGAAUGCCCGCAGCCCGGGAUUCCUCCUAAGCCACGUCCCAUCUGUGUGGGACCCCACUGAAAAUCAGACUGUUCAACUCACCUGGCAACCACUCCCAGAGCCCCUGGAACUCUGGCCCAAGGCUCUCUGACUGACUCCUUCCCAGAUCUUCUCGGCUUAGCGGCUGAAGACUGACACUGCCCGAUCGCCUCGGAAGCCCCCUAGACCAUCACAGACGCCGAGCUUCAGAAGGCAGGAAUGUCAGGCCUCUGAGCCCAAGCCAAGCCAUCGCAUCCCCUGUGACUUGCACGUAUAUGCCCAGAUGGACUGAAGUAACUGAAGAAUCACAAAAGAAGUGAAUAUGCCCUGCCCCACCUUAACUGAUGACAUUCCACCACAAAAGAAGUGUAAAUGGCCGGUCCUUGCCUUAAGUGAUGACAUUACCUUGUGAAAGUCCUUUUCCUGGCUCAUCCUGGCUCAAAAAGCACCCCCACUGAGCACCUUGCGACCGCCACUCCAGCCCACCAGAGAACAAACCCCCUUUGACUGUAAUUUUCCUUUACCUACCCAAAUCCUAUAAAAUGGCCCCACCCUUAUCUCCCUUCGCUAACUCUCUUUUCGGACUCAGCCCGCCUGCACCCAGGUGAUUAAAAGCUUUUUUGCUCA